GAAUUCGCCCUUAGAGUUUGAUCCUGGCUCAGGACGAACGCUGGCGGCGUGCUUAACACAUGCAAGUCGAACGGAGCACCCUUGAAAGAGUUUUCGGACAAUGGAGAGGAAUGCUUAGUGGCGGACUGGUGAGUAACGCGUGAGGAACCUGCCUUCCAGAGGGGGACAACAGUUGGAAACGACUGCUAAUACCGCAUGACAAAUUUGAAUCGCAUGGUUUGAAUGUCAAAGAUUUAUCGCUGGAAGAUGGCCUCGCGUCUGAUUAGCUAGUAGGCGGGGUAACGGCCCACCUAGGCGACGAUCAGUAGCCGGACCGAGAGGUUGACCGGCCACAUUGGGACUGAGAUACGGCCCAGACUCCUACGGGAGGCAGCAGUGGGGAAUAUUGGGCAAUGGGCGCAAGCCUGACCCAGCAACGCCGCGUGAAGGAAGAAGGCUUUCGGGUUGUAAACUUCUUUUAAGAGGGAAGAGCAGAAGACGGUACCUCUUGAAUAAGCCACGGCUAACUACGUGCCAGCAGACGCGGUAAUACGUAGGUGGAAAGCGUUGUCCGGAUUUACUGGGUGUAAAGGGCGUGCAGCCGGGAAGACAAGUCAGAUGUGAAAUCCCGCGGCUCAACCGCGGAACUGCAUUUGAAACUGUUUUUCUUGAGUACCGGAGAGGUCAUCGGAAUUCCUUGUGUAGCGGUGAAAUGCGUAGAUAUAAGGAAGAACACCAGUGGCGAAGGCGGAUGACUGGACGGCAACUGACGGUGAGGCGCGAAAGCGUGGGGAGCAAACAGGAUUAGAUACCCUGGUAGUCCACGCUGUAAACGAUGGAUACUAGGGGUGCCGGGGACUGACCC
rnacentral:rRNA from 1 species